AGUUUGGGUCCUUCAUCCUGCAGCAAACACACCACCUUCCCACUACUUAGUUCCUUCAAGGCCAGGUCGUUGCUGUUAACUUGUUAUCCACAGACAACUCAAAGUCUGGAGGUUCACUGUUUAAGCCAUUAAUCUGUCAAUGAAGGACAGGAAUUCUACUGGGGACAGUGGUCUGAACCUGGUAUGGUCUCUUCUGUUUCCAGUUUCACUUUUUACAUUUUUUUGAUGGAGAGUCUGAGUGAUGGAGCAGGAACAGGAAGAGAGAUGACAUAUAUAAAGCCAGCAGGAGUUUGCUUUUUACUUGCAGUUUCAGAUCUCCAUGAUGUGUGUUAAUCAGAUUGAGAAACUGAAGAAAUGCCAAGGAAUAGCUCACUCUUUGGUCAGUGUUAACAGUUGUGUGCUGGAAGAUGCUGUUUGUCUGAGCCUACAAAUUUUAUCUCCCUCAGUCUUCUCUCAGUGAGCAAAAUCUUACCUUCUACUUGACAAAGAAAAUCAAGACUAUCCAUCCUGAAAUUUUUCAUCAUUAUUCCCCACCUAAACACAUCUCAAAUCUUCACUCAUCCUUUUCUCCUUGGAAGAGGGAUGGAUCCCUUCUCUUUGAAAAGAUUCUCCACUUUAAGGAAAGCUUCCAGACCAAUCAUGUUUUAAUUCUUCUCCAGGUGACAGAUAUUCUUGUUGAUUCUCCAGAUUUUGUCUUUCAUGGCAAAGAAGUCUCCUUACACUGUAAGUUCAUUCAUCUCUAACUUUUCAGACCUUAGGAAUACUCUGCUCCUGUAGCCCAAUCUUCUGAUCGACUGGUUCUUCUUAAAUUUACAUUUUAUGGAAAAUGAAUGUUCAAGUUAACCAUGACUUCAUUUCUCUACAGGCCCCACUCCCUGACACUUUGGAACCCACAUUUCCUUUUCAG
rnacentral:lncRNA from 1 species